GCCGGCCCCGCUCUCUCGCCCUCCCUCCCUCCCGCGCGCGCUGGCCACGCCUCCUCCUCAUGCUGAGACCAAUGAGCGGCCAGAUCUGGUCCAGCUCCUUCCGUGCCGUCCAAUCAUCACGCCGUCUGCUCUGUCGACCUGUUAGCUCCUCUCCUAAAGCUCCACCGCCCCUCAUCCGCGUCUGCCAAUCGCCCUGGACCUCUGGGAGCGUCCCACCCGCCUCCCUCGAUCCGGGUUCGCCCCCAAGCCGGGGCCGGGAGCGGUCCCCGCCCCGCUGAAGAGCCUGUAGUUUUUGGGACCACUGCCCAGAGAGAACCCGCCGAGACUCUCUGCUUCCUGAGUUUCUUUUCUGGAGGUUUGGCUGGAGAGCAGCCCGGAGAACAUUCCCCUACUGCCUGACCAUGGGAAGUCAUAGGAGGAGCACCGAUGUGUGAGAAUUGAGACACAGUGCUGCCCACCAUGUCUCUCCACUUCUCAUUAUGGCUGUACAACCAGUUUCAGAAGGCUUCUGUGAGAUAACGAAAUGUUUCCUGGGAACCUUCCACCAAAGUCAUAUAUCAGGCGUUCGAGUCUAGACCAGUCACUGCCCCAGGGCAGUCCAGGUUUACAUUUACUCUCCCAUACUUUCUGCAUACUUCUCUAGUCAAGCUUGCCAUUCUCUUUGCCUAGGGGGACUCAGUUUCCCUGUAGGCUGAUGUCUGCUGAGUCAGUGGGGAUAGGGCAGUUUGACCCAUGAGAUUUACCUGCUCAGGGCCAGGACCUAACUGGUGAUUGUGAAAAAUCACUCAGCGUGAAUAGGUUUGUAGAAGGCCGCCACCAUCAUAGGGGCCACAGCUAGAAGCUAGAGUGUGUCCCAUUGGCAAGCCCGGCCCCUCAGCUUUCCUACAGAAUCUCAAGAAAGUGAGAACUUCAGAGAUUCCCUUGGGUGCAAAACAACAGCACAAGCCCAGAAGGAGUGGAGACCUCACAACACACGAGAUCCUGGACAUGAGGCAGACCCUGUAACCACAGCAGUUGUCUCUUUGGGUUGGUAAAUGAAAUAAUGCUUUGAAUGUAGGCUCUAGGGCAGAGAUGGACUUGAGGAAAACACCACAUAGGAUAACUGAAUAUGAAACACUAGGAAUAAAGGUCUGUAUCAUUUUAAUGCAUAGUCACUCCAUGGGAAGAUGUUUAAAAAAUAGAAACAGAUUUCUGAUGUGAAUUUUAAUUUACAAGAUCUUCUCUUCCCUGAUGUCUCCUUCUUCCUCUUUUUUUUUCUCAUUCUUUUCCUUUCAUCUUCUCCUAGUCAAUAAAGAGCAACGGGACUUGACAUCCAGAGAGAAAGAAAUAUGAGGAGCCACACCCCACAAUUUCAUCUUGUAAAUGAGCUUAGGAAAGGAGAACAGGAGGGAAAGCCCCCGGGGCUGUCGGCCUGGGCUUCUGUCACUGCAGACAUCUGGCUUUUAAUGACAUGAUAUGGGAAGAAUCAUUUGGCACCAUCAUUGCUGUUAAAUGUCUUUCAAGCAUUAAUAAAACAUAAGAGACUCGCUUAAAAUGGCAUUUAUACUGGAAACCUUACGGUGAUGGCAUGCUUGCUGGGAACAGCGAAGAAUUAAAAUUUAGACUUGAGAUACUGUUUAGCAUCCGAGAAACUCAGCUGUUUCAUAAGAUCAUGGAAACAGCCCUGGAGAAAGAGCAUGCACUGAGCUCCUGCUGCGGACGGACGGCUCUUUAGCCUGCAAGGUCCCAGCCUUGGCUUAAGUUUCUCUGUCAGGUACAGAAAAUGGAUGAAUACUGUGAGAAAGUUAA